rnacentral:rRNA from 1 species
AGGAUUAACGCUGGCGGCGUGCCUGACACAUGCAAGUCGAACGAGGCCGCAAGGCCGAGUGGCGGACGGGUGAGUAACACGUGACCAACCAACCUCGAAGUUGGGAAUAGCUCUGCGAAAGUAGGGGUAAUACCGAAUGUGGCCCAGGGCGGGCAUCCGCCUUGGUCUAAAGAUUCAUCGCUUCGAGACGGGGUCGCGGCCUAUUAGCUUGUUGGUGAGGUAACGGCUCACCAAGGCGAUGAUGGGUAGCUGGUCUGAGAGGACGACCAGCCACACUGGGACUGAGACACGGCCCAGACUCCUACGGGAGGCAGCAGUGAGGAAUCUUCCGCAAUGGGCGAAAGCCUGACGGAGCAACGCCGCGUGUGGGAUGAAGACUCUAGGGUUGUAAACCACUGGUCGGAGGGGACGAUCGUGACGGUACCCUCCAAGAAAGCCCCGGCUAACUACGCGCCAGCAGCCGC